AAAAAAAAAGCCAGACGAAGUGAGAUUUGCACGUGCUUCCUCAUCUUACGGGCUCCUUCCGUUUUUGUCUCCUCUCUGCGUAAAUACAGAUCUGCCGGUCACGAUUGCAUCUAAUUAGUGCCGCGGAAGGUGUCAAACGUGAUCGAUGACAUUUAAAGGAUUCUUCGAUGGAAAUAGAUGAUAAUGUUCAAUUAGCGCGGAGACUGCGCGAAGAAGUUAAAUCCGUGUUUGUUCUAAUGGAAAUGGAUACUUCGGGGAACGAAGCACCUGGGAACUCGAUGAAACCAAUUGUCCUUGUCGACAUUUUCGUAAUCGUUACGGAUAGUGCGACAGAG